rnacentral:lncRNA from 1 species
UCUUGUCUUUGAAGAUCUAAGCUUAAACCCGAGUUUUUGAAGCCUUGGAGACCGUUUGACUCAUCUCCACGUUGGGGUUGCUGUCACUCCUAGAUCUUCAAGAGGUAGGCCUAGAUCCUUGCCUCUCUUAUGUUUUUAAUUAAGUUUUGUGAAGGUUUAAGGAGUAAAGAUGCACGUUAUGGUUGGAUCUAGAGCUAUAGGGUUGGAGUUGGGUUUUUGAUGAAUGUAUGCUCCCUCUUAUGUUUUAUUGUUGUUUGUUGGGGUUUAGGUUAGUUUUUAUGCCCCUUAUGCAUGUUGGAGUGAGUAUGCAUGUUUUAGGAAGUUGGGUGUGAGGAUUUGAGAGUUUGGGGUUGAAAUGCAUGUGGCAGAAUCGGGUUCUGCCAUUCUGGCGAAUCCAGGUUCGGCCGCCGAACCUGCAUGGGAGGCAGCCUUUUGGCCGCCUAACAUGCCCCCGAAAGCAUGCACUUUCGGACCUGGAAGGGAGUUUCGACCGCCGAACCUGUCUCCGAAGGACCCCGACUUUCGGAUCUAUAGAGGACCUUCGGCCGCUGAACCUACCGCCGCCGAAAGUCCUCUACCCAGCCUUCCUUUGCUCGUUUUAUGUGCAUGUUUUGUGAUGUUUUAGAGGGUUUUUGGGGAGAUGUUUAGAGUCUUGCUAGAGUUAUGUUUGGUCCCUCACUUGAGUCCAUCAAUGUAGGAUCGGACCUGAGAUAUCGAAGAGACCAGCAGUGAGUCAGCUACUUCAGUGUCAGUCAAAACGUCAGCCAGAGGUGAGUAGAACUGAACUAUAUUUUUUAAAAGUAACUAAAUUUUUAAGCAUGUUCAUGCAUCACGAAUGCCAUGUUAUGUAAUAAGUUGUAUUGCAUUAGAAUUCACGAAUAUGAUGCAUUGCAUAAUUUGCUGUUGUUGUGGAUGGAUAUUAGAUGACCCACUAGCCCUCGAUAUGAUAUGAUAUGGUAUGAUACGGAAGUCCAGGUCGAGACCCAUUCUACGCCCCUGGCACAGUUGGAUAUGUUAUGUUAUAUUUAAGAGGAAGUUCUGAGGAGCUCCGUCGAGGGCCGGGCAUUAUUUGGAUUAUGUAGAGAGUUACUGGUGACAAGUCCAUCCUUAAUGUGAAUUGUCUGUAUUGUGAUGCAUUUCAUGCGAGCAUAUGUUUAUUUAAACUGUUUUUAUGGUUCUGCUCACUAGACUCUCGUAGCUUAUCCCUUUCCCCUAACCCCCAGGUUUGCAGGAUCAGAGUUAGCUCGGGAAGUCGGCUUGAGGCGGGUAUAGUUUAUGUAAUAGAUAGUAAUGGACAUGUAAUUUUUAAUGGAAUAGAUUUGUGUUUUGCCCUAAUUUAUGUUGUUAAUCCCAGUGAACAUGUUUUUAUGUAAAAGUUUUUAUAAUGAGUUAUGUUGAACCAAACUUGAUCUAUGUGAUGUUGACCAUACUAGAGCAUUUGAUGAGAGCUCUAGUAUGGGUUUUAUGUAUACAGUUUAUGUUGAAUACACAGAUCGAGCUUGGUAUAUGGAAAAGUUUAAAAUUUUU